rnacentral:lncRNA from 1 species
AGGCUGGCUCCUGAUGUCAGUCCUGUGCCUCCUUCAGCCCACAGGAUCCUCUGGGAGUUAAGAAACUCACAUUGCUCAAGUCAGAAUUGGGGAAAUCUUGGGCUGUUGUGACAAGGACGGGAGCUCUGCCACCUGAGAGGGAAUGGCCUCCACAGCACUGUCUUCUUGCUCAUAUGCCAAGGUGUCCUUGAAGGACAGCAAUGUCAUCUUUCACCUGGCCACACCUCCACAGAGCACCAGGUACAAGAAAGCCUUGAUGGUCCCCAAGCCCAGGCCAGAGCUCGUAUCCAGCCUGGUGCAUCUGGGAAGAUCUCGGGAGACUGUGGACCCGUGAGCUCAGGGUACCAAGCUACGAAUGCUUCCAGGUCCUGUCAUCUCAACUACUCAGGAGUUUGAGGCAGGAGGAUGCAAGGCUGACUCUGAACCCCACAACCCUCCUGCCUCUUCCUGUUAGGACCACAGGUGCCCUCAAACACAGGCAUCACGCUGGUCACCUCUGCUUGUGAUGUGGCUGCAGCUCUGACCACUCAUUCAUGAUGGGGAUGGCCAAGAGGCAGAUGCAGGUACACACAUACACUCAUACAAGGUACCUGCCUAUUCCUGAUUCCCUAUUUUGAUUCAGUAAUAAAGGGUACUUGGACUGGGCUUCGGCUGGAAGGGCACC